rnacentral:rRNA from 1 species
GACGAACGCUGGCGGCGUGCUUAACACAUGCAGGUCGAACGAUGAAGCCGGAGCUUGCUCCGGUGGAUUAGUGGCGAACGGGUGAGUAACACGUGAGCAAUCUGCCCUUGACUCUGGGAUAACUGCGGGAAACUGUAGCUAAUACCGGAAACGACACCUUGGGGCAUCCCAGGGUGUGGAAAGAAUUUCGGUGAAGGAUUGGAUUCCGGCCUAUCCGGUAGUUGGUGAGGUAAUGGGUCACCAAGGCGACGACGGGUAGCCGGCGUCAGAGGGUGCCCGGCAAAACUGGAAAUGAGACACGGUCCAGACUCCUACGGGAGGCAGCAGUGGGGAAUAUUGCACAAUGGGCGAAAGCCUGAUGCAGCAACGCCGCUUGAGGGAUGAAGGCCUUCGGGUUGUAUACCUCUUUUCGCAGGUAAGAAGCGAAAGUUACGGUACCUGCAGAAAAAGCACCGGCUAACUACGUGCCAGCAGCCGCCGUAA